AUUGAACGCUGGCGGCAUGCUUUACACAUGCAAGUCGAACGGUAACAGGCCGCAAGGUGCUGACGAGUGGCGAACGGGUGAGUAAUGCAUCGGAACGUGCCCAGUCGUGGGGGAUAACGCAGCGAAAGCUGUGCUAAUACCGCAUACGAUCUGUGGAUGAAAGCGGGGGACCGAAAGGCCUCGCGCGAUUGGAGCGGCCGAUGUCAGAUUAGGUAGUUGGUGGGGUAAAGGCGCACCAAGCCAACGAUCUGUAGCUGGUCUGAGAGGACGACCAGCCACACUGGGACUGAGACACGGCCCAGACUCCUACGGGAGGCAGCAGUGGGGAAUUUUGGACAAUGGGCGCAAGCCUGAUCCAGCAAUGCCGCGUGCAGGAAGAAGGCCUUCGGGUUGUAAACUGCUUUUGUACGGAGCGAAAGGGCUCUCUCUAAUACAGGGGGCUCAUGACGGUACCGUAAGAAUAAGCACCGGCUAACUACGUGCCAGCCGCCGCAGUAAUAC
rnacentral:rRNA from 1 species